GAUGAACGCUGGCUACAGGCUUAACACAUGCAAGUCGAGGGGAAACGACGGGGAAGCUUGCUUCCCCGGGCGUCGACCGGCGCACGGGUGAGUAACGCGUAUCCAACCUGCCUCUGACUGAGGGAUAACCCGUCGAAAGUCGGCCUAAUACCUCAUGGUAUCGUCUGCGGGCAUCCAACGACGAUUAAAGAUUUCAUCGGUCAGGGAUGGGGAUGCGUCUGAUUAGCUUGUUGGCGGGGUAACGGCCCACCAAGGCUACGAUCAGUAGGGGUUCUGAGAGGAAGGUCCCCCACAUUGGAACUGAGACACGGUCCAAACUCCUACGGGAGGCAGCAGUGAGGAAUAUUGGUCAAAGGGCGAGAGCCUGAACCAGCCAAGUAGCGUGCAGGAAGACGGCCCUAUGGGUUGUAAACUGCUUUUAUGCGGGGAUAAAGUGAGGGACGUGUCCCUCAUUGCAGGUACCGCAUGAAUAAGGACCGGCUAAUUCCGUG
rnacentral:rRNA from 1 species